AGGCCUGUAGCACUGUGGUAGAGCAUGUGCUUGGCAUGCAGAAUGAUCCAGGUUCAAUCCCUAGCAGGGCUG